CCGAUAUGUAAUACUUAUGACUCUUAACGUUUAGUUCCUAACAUGCUUCUUCUAUCUCUGAUCUACAUAACGAGCAUACCAGUUACAUACUGUGGAUUUUAGCCAAAAAGAAGGCUCUGAUAGAAAAGGGUCAAGAUCACACUAGUAGCCAUACUUAAAAUAUCCCGCAGUACAAGUCAUACCGCAAAACCCUCAACUUGAUUAGCCACCGCAACGAGAUUUAACAAGAAGAGACUGUUAGAUCCAGUAAAAGGAAACCUACAUACAUUCACGACAUAGACCAAUUAGAGGUAAAGGACAUAACCAUACAAGUCAACAGGUUUCAUGAUUGGAGUAAUAAGCAAUUUAUUUUAAUUAAAAAAGGUUGAAAGAGUAGCAACCGUUGAUUAGUCUUCCUUUGUCCUGAGAGACGACUUCAAUCUUUAACUGCUCCUCUUGUUCCUUUUUCUUUCAGGAAGAAAGGGCACAGAAGCUAUGGAAUCUCCUAUGAGAUUCAAUCUCCGAACAGCAUUCUCCAUCAUCUUCC
rnacentral:lncRNA from 1 species